AGCGAACGCUGGCGGCAGGCUUAACACAUGCAAGUCGAGCGGGCAUCCUUGUGGUGUCAGCGGCAGACGGGUGAGUAACGCGUGGGAACGUGCCCUUCGGUUCGGAAUAACUCAGGGAAACUUGAGCUAAUACCGGAUACGUGCGAGAGCAGAAAGGUUUAUCUGCCGAAGGAUCGGCCCGCGUCUGAUUAGCUAGUUGGUGAGGUUAUGGCUCACCAAGGCGACGAUCAGUAGCUGGUCUGAGAGGAUGAUCAGCCACACUGGGAUUGAGACACGGCCCAGACUCCUACGGGAGGCAGCAGUGGGGAAUAUUGGACAAUGGGGGCAACCCUGAUCCAGCCAUGCCGCGGGAGUGAUGACGGCCUUAGGGUUGUAAAGCUCUUUUCUCCGGGACGAUAAUGACGGUACCGGAGGAAUAAGCCCCGGCUAACUUCGU
rnacentral:rRNA from 1 species